UAAGCACCGGCUAACUUUGUGCCAGCAGCCGCGGUAAUACGGGAGCCAGCAGCCGCGGUAAUACGGGAGCCAGCAGCCGCGGUAUAAGCACCGGCUAACUUUGUGCCAGCAGCCGCGGUAAUACGGGAGCCAGCAGCCGCGGUAAUACGGGAGCCAGCAGCCGCGGUA
rnacentral:misc_RNA from 1 species